rnacentral:miRNA from 1 species
UGGAAGACUUGUGAUUUUGUUGCU